AGGGCUAGAAAUCCUACUGCACGCCUCGGGAAACCGAGGAAGCCUUCGAGGGUGUAGGAC
rnacentral:rRNA from 1 species